rnacentral:misc_RNA from 1 species
UUUCUUUCACUAUAUUCACCAAUUGAACAAGAUCCAAGACCUUCUCAAGGUGGCCACCUACAAACUCAUGAUUUCUUUCAACCUCUAGAACAAGCAAGGAAGACUGUUGGGAAAGAAGAAAAUAAAGUUGAGGUAGAGGCUAUAGAAAAGCAGCCUCCAUCAGCAGCACAUAUUCUUCCUGGUGGCAUUGGCACAUAUAGCAUUUCUUAUUCACAGCAAAGGUUUCCAAAGCCAGAAGCAAACACAUUUGCUGUUACACAAACUAGCAGUACAGAUAGAGACGAUAGAAACUCAAACUGCAGUUCUUACUCAGGAAG